rnacentral:rRNA from 1 species
GAUGAACGCUGGCGGCGUGCCUAAUACAUGCAAGUAGAACGCUGAAGGAAGGAGCUUGCUCUUUCCGGAUGAGUUGCGAACGGGUGAGUAACGCGUAGGUAACCUGCCUGGUAGCGGGGGAUAACUAUUGGAAACGAUAGCUAAUACCGCAUAACAGUAGAUGUUGCAUGAUAUCUACUUAAAAGGUGCAAUUGCACCACUACCAGAUGGACCUGCGUUGUAUUAGCUAGUUGGUGAGGUAACGGCUCACCAAGGCGACGAUACAUAGCCGACCUGAGAGGGUGAUCGGCCACACUGGGACUGAGACACGGCCCAGACUCCUACGGGAGGCAGCAGUAGGGAAUCUUCGGCAAUGGACGGAAGUCUGACCGAGCAACGCCGCGUGAGUGAAGAAGGUUUUCGGAUCGUAAAGCUCUGUUGUAAGAGAAGAACGAGUGUGAGAGAGGAAAGUUCACACUGUGACGGUAUCUUACCAGAAAGGGACGGCUAACUACGUG